AAUGAGCUGGCAGGAAGGAAAAGUCUCCACAAGAACAGAGAUUCAAGGGUGUCAUGGGGUAGUAAGGAAAACUGGGAAUACCAAAAUGAUGACGUUAGGAACAGACUGUGUGGAGCUGGCAAGGGAGCUAGAAGGAGGAGCCCAUGUGGCUCCUGUGAAGGAGUAUGUGACAACCUUUGAAAAUCCAGACUCCAGUCUGGACCGAUCUUGGUGGGCUACAAGCUCGGGUUCAUGCCCAGGACUGUUUCGGGAGUAUGUGACAUCCACUUAGAAAAUGGACAAGUGAGACUCACAUUCAAAAUGCAAGGAGGAUAUGUCUGUGAUAAAAUGUAGAAUCAUGGUUUGCUAAGGAAAAGUUUAUCUGCUACUCUUAGACCAAGACCCAGAGAGAAGAUGGAUUGGAAAGCAAGGUGCUACUAGUUUGGGGUUAUUCUCUGCUGUGUGGAUGGCUUCAUUCUGGAGUUUGAAGGAAAUCAGAGGAGGGCAGGACAGGAGGCUCCGUGGUGAAGAGUACUUACUGAUU